ACAGUGGACGCGAGCAUCUUUGUUGUAAGUAAUUAAGAGCGUACGGUGGAUGCCUUGGCACCAGGAGCCGAUGAAGGACGUAGGAGGCUGCGAUAAGCCUCGGGGAGCUGUCAACCGAGCUGAGAUCCGAGGAUGUCCGAAUGGGGAAACCCAGCCACAGUGAUGUGUGGUUACCCGCGCCUGAAUAUAUAGGGCGUGUGGAGGGAACGUGGGGAAGUGAAACAUCUCAGUACCCACAGGAAGAGAAAACAACAUGUGAUUCCGUGAGUAGUGGCGAGCGAAAGCGGAAGAGGCUAAACCAUGGGUGUGUGAUAGCCGGCGGGCGUUGCAUUCGUGGGGUUGUGGGAUCCGUCUUGUCAAUUCUGCCGGAUUGGCCGACAGUGAGAAAUCAUCGUGUUAGUCGAAGUGGUCUGGAACGGCCUGUCGUAGAGGGUGAGAGUCCCGUAGACGAAAACAUGGUGACUGUCGUGACGGACACCCGAGUAGCAGCGGGCCCGUGAAAUCUGCUGUGAAUCUGUCGGGACCACCCGAUAAGCCUGAAUACUCCCUGGUGACCGAUAGCGGACUAGUACCGUGAGGAAAGGUGAAAAGUACCCCGGGAGGGGAGUGAAAUAGUACCUGAAACCGUGCGCUUACAAUCCGUCAGAGCCUGCGCCACUUUGGUGGGUGGGUGAUGGCGUGCCUUUUGAAGAAUGAGCCUGCGAGUUAGCGGCAUGUCGCGAGGUUAACCCGUGUGGGGUAGCCGUAGCGAAAGCGAGUCCGAAUAGGGCGUUUGUAGUGGCAUGUUCUAGACCCGAAGCGGAGUGAUCUACCCAUGGCCAGGGUGAAGCGACGGUAAGACGUCGUGGAGGCCCGAACCCACUUAGGUUGAAAACUGAGGGGAUGAGCUGUGGGUAGGGGUGAAAGGCCAAUCAAACUCCGUGAUAGCUGGUUCUCCCCGAAAUGCAUUUAGGUGCAGCGUCGCGUGUUUCACUCUGGAGGUAGAGCUACUGGAUGGCCGAUGGGCCCCACAAGGUUACUGACGUCAGCCAAACUCCGAAUGCCAGAGUGUGAGAGCGCGGCAGUGAGACUGCGGGGGAUAAGCUUCGUAGUCGAGAGGGAACAGCCCAGAUCGCCGGCUAAGGCCCCUAAGCGUGUACUAAGUGGAAAAGGAUGUGGGGUCGCGAAGACAACCAGGAGGUUGGCUUAGAAGCAGCCACCCUUGAAAGAGUGCGUAAUAGCUCACUGGUCAAGUGAUCCUGCGCCGACAAUGUAGCGGGGCUCAAGUACACCGCCGAAGCCGCGGCAUUCACAUAACACCCAUGCGGGUCUACGGGCCUGUGUGCAGUGGUGUGGAUGGGUAGGGGAGCGUCGUGCAGCCAUGGAAGCGCCGGAGUGAUCCAGUUGUGGAGGCUGCACGAGUGAGAAUGCAGGCAUGAGUAGCGAAAGACGAGUGAGAAACUCGUCCGCCGAAUGACCAAGGGUUCCUGGGCCAGUUAAUCCGCCCAGGGUGAGUCGGGACCUAAGGCGAGGCCGACAGGCGUAGUCGAUGGACAACGGGUUGAUAUUCCCGUACCCGUGUGAACGCGCCCCUGGUGAAUCAGUGAUGCUAAGCGCCCUGAAGCCGCCUUCGAACCUUCGGGUUCUCGGUGUGUGGAUGCGCGUGAACCGAUCUGGUAGUAGCCAAGCGAUGGGGUGACGCAGGAAGGUAGCUGAGCCAGUCAGUGGUAAUACUGGUGUAAGCGUGUAGGGCGUGACCUAGGCAAAUCCGGGUCACACACAGCCUGAGACGUGAUGCGUAGCCGAUUGAGGCGAAUUCAGUGAUCCUAUGCUGCCGAGAAAAGCCUCUAGCGAGCUUUCACACGGCCCGUACCCCAAACCGACACAGGUGGUCAGGUAGAGAAACUAAGGCGAUCGAGAUAACUGUGGUUAAGGAACUCGGCAAAAUGCCCCCGUAACUUCGGGAGAAGGGGUGCCUCGUCUGGUGACGGAACUUGCUUCCUGG
rnacentral:rRNA from 1 species